rnacentral:lncRNA from 1 species
GUAUGUUAAAUGUAGCACUCAAUACAAUUAUCAAGCAUUUUAAUACAAAUUUAAGGAAGGAGGUUUAUGUCCAUUUUGUUUCUGUUUCAGCUUUCAAUCGAGUUUUCAAAAUCAUCCAAAACUUACCAAUAUUUUCUCUAGUUUGUUCUGCUGCAUUUUAUUUCUUUGCCUGCUGUCCAAGUCUAUACUUCUGCAGAACAAAAAAAGGGGGACAAAACUGCCUAAUGUGUUCUCGAUAGGAAAAAAAUAUCGAUGAAUAAUAUUGUACCUUAGAGAACUU